rnacentral:rRNA from 1 species
GUGUCAGCCGCCGCGGUAAUACGUAGGGGGCGAGCGUUAUCCGGAUUUACUGGGCGUAAAGCGGGCGUAGGUGGCUUGUCAAGUCGGAUGUGAAAUCUCCUGGCUUAACUGGGAGGGUGCAUUCGAUACUGACGGGCUAGAGUGCAGAAGAGGGAGGUGGAAUUCCCGGUGUAGUGGUGAAAUGCGUAGAUAUCGGGAAGAACACUAGUGGCGAAGGCGGCCUCCUGGGCUGUAACUGACACUGAGGUCCGAAGGCGUGGGGAGCAAACAGGAUUAGAUACCCUGGUAGUCCACGCAGUAAACGAUGGAUACUAGGUAUGGGGAGUAUCGACCCUUUCCGUGCCGAAGCUAACGCUUUAAGUAUCCCGCCUGGGGAGUACGGUCGCAAGACUAAAACUCAAAGGAAUUGACGGGG